ACUAAUUACACACACUAACAGAUGGCAUGGGACUACUAUCCAGCGAAAACUUGGAUAGGCCAAAUCGCUUUCAGUCCGAGCAGUGAUAACUUGAAAAAACUACCGAUUUUUGUCAGAACGUACCGAUGUCAUAGGCGUGAGGGAUUGGCUUUGUUCACUUGUCAAGAACGGAAGUUAAAUUUAACCACAACCACACCCCUCGAAUUCUCAGUUGCACUGGGACACUGGGCACAACAAUAGGUACUGUCAACAUAAUUAUGGAGGAGUAGUGGAUGAUGUUGAAUGCCUCCUAGAGCUGCACAGCUCUACUGUACUAUGAGUAUAAUUAUUAUUGGUACCUGGACUUCAGUGAGCAAGGUGCAGGUGCAGGUGCAUGGACGAUGAACAGACUCACAUUGUUACCAAAUGAACCCAGCAACCAUUCACUUGGAUCUAAGAAACAAAGCAACAAAGUUUGCAGCUCUAAAGCAAGUACCCUUGGGAAAGAAAGUGGAGACAAUAAAAUGUAGUGUUCAAGAGAUUAUCAUGGAUAAAGGCACUAAGACAGGCUAAGAAGAAAUUACUGGAAGAAAACGCUCCUGCUGAGUCCAUCUAAUCUCAGCCACAAAGCAGGAGAAAGAGGUACAACAAAUACUCUGAGAAGAUUGUCUUGGUUACAAGAUGCCUGCAUUGUGCCGAUCCGAGUGAAUGGUUGCUGGGUUCAAUGGAAACAGCAAAUGAUGGAAAGUAUAAAUCAUAUACAUGAAUGUGUGCUGGACAGCCCACUUUGUAUGUACGCGUGUAUCUUGGAGAUGUGUUCGACUAGAUGAUGAAGUAAAGUACUGUGCUGACCAAACUACUGACAUGGCACCGCAAUGCUGCUUUUGAAUGCUCGAAACAAUAAUGGGAUGCUAUCGAACAUUAUUUAAUUGCCCUGAAUGGUU